rnacentral:rRNA from 1 species
UACGGGGGGGGCAAGCGUUGUUCGGAAUUACUGGGCGUAAAGCGUGCGCAGGCGGCUUUGCAAGACAGAUGUGAAAUCCCCGGGCUUAACCUGGGAACUGCAUUUGUGACUGCAGGGCUGGAGUGCGGCAGAGGGGGAUGGAAUUCCGCGUGUAGCAGUGAAAUGCGUAGAUAUGCGGAGGAACACCGAUGGCGAAGGCAAUCCCCUGGGCCUGCACUGACGCUCAUGCACGAAAGCGUGGGGAGCAAACAGG